CAUUUUAUAUCUACAAAACAUCCAUGAAAAUUAUUGAUGCUCCAUGCAUCCAUGGACAUGUGCAAUGUACAGAAACUUUCUGACUGCAACUUCACAAACAGGACAGACUUCAAACACUUUGAGCAGGAUAUGGGAUUGUAUACAUGUACAUAGAAAGUUUACAUGUGUUAUAUUACAUUUAGUAUCUUACACAUGUACAUCAACCAUAGUCAUAUGUGCAAACUUAUUUGGAGCUUGUACAGUUGUACAUACUUCCAUGUGUUUAAAUGGAUGUGCUAAUUUGAUAUACUUUUUUAAACUUCCUUUUCCCGAAAAUGACCAAAUUUGUCCCAAACUGAGAACAUCGACUCAGAAAUAUAACAAUCAAUAUUUACAUGAAGUGUUCUAUGUACAUUGUAGGUUGAAAAUAAACUUAAUAUUUCCAAUCAGUCUUGAAAAAAAAACCCCGCAUGUGUC